UACGAAGGGUGCAAGCGUUGCUCGGAAUUAUUGGGCGUAAAGGGUAGGUAGGUGGUUACGUAUGUCUGGGGUGAAAUCCCUGAGCUCAACUCAGGAAGUGCCUUGGAAACGGCGUAACUAGAAUACUGGAGAGGUCUGUAGAAUUCCUGGUGUAGCGGUGAAAUGCGUAGAGAUCAGGAGGAAUACCAGAGGCGAAGGCGGCAGACUGGACAGUUAUUGACACUAAACUACGAAAGCGUGGGGAGCAAACAGG
rnacentral:rRNA from 1 species